GACGAACCGAGCGAACGUUAUUCGGAAUCACUGGGCUUAAAGGGCGCGUAGGCGGGCGAUCAAGUCAGGGGUGAAAGCCCCCAGCUCAACUGGGGAAGUGCCUCUGAUACUGAUCGUCUCGAGGGAGAUAGGGGCGUGCGGAACUUCCGGUGGAGCGGUGAAAUGCGUAGAUAUCGGAAGGAACACCGGUGGCGAAAGCGGCGCGCUGGAUCUCUUCUGACGCUGAGGCGCGAAAGCCAGGGGAGCGAACGGG
rnacentral:rRNA from 1 species